rnacentral:rRNA from 1 species
AUACGGAGGAUCCGAGCGUUGUCCGGAUUUAUUGGGUUUAAAGGGUGCGCAGGCGGCCAUUUAAGUCAGCGGUUAAAUCGUGGGGCUCAACCCCAUUCUGCCGUUGAUACUGGGUGGCUUGAUUGCGGUCGAGGUUGGCGGAAUUCGUUGUGUAGCGGUGAAAUGCAUAGAUAUGACGAAGAACACCGAUUGCGUAGGCAGCUGACCAGACCGCAAAUGACGCUCAUGCACGAAAGUGCGGGGAUCGAACAGGAUUAGAUACCCUGGUAGUCCGCACAGUAAACGAUGAAUACUUGUUUUCGGCGAUAUAAUGUCGGAGGCAAAGCGAAAGCGAUAAGUAUUCCACCUGGGGAGUACGCCGGCAACGGUGAAACUUAAAGGAAUUGACGGGG